rnacentral:lncRNA from 1 species
GCAAUUUGAAAGUUGCGCCUUAUUGGUAAAAGUUCGGAAAUCAUCGUGUCACUUUGUUAUUUUCAUACGUACUUAGAGAGAUGUUCCGAAAAAGUCCGGGAAAAUAUUACUUCCCUUUAACAAAAGUUCGGGAAAAACAGUCAACUUCCGGGCACGUAAAUUUGAAAUUAGUCAAAAUAGUUAAAAUCUUUUUAUUAUAUGCUGGAGAUGGACUAAAAAUGUUACGACCAAUACCAGUUUGAUAAAUAUAAACGAUGUCUGCGAUCUGACGGCAAGGAAGGCACGUUUUCCCAGAAGAAAUCGUUGGGGAAUCCAG